rnacentral:rRNA from 1 species
CACGUAGGGCGCAAGCGUUGUCCGGAAUUAUUGGGCGUAAAGAGCUCGUAGGCGGUCUGUCACGUCUGCCGUGAAAACCCGAGGCUUAACCUCGUGGCUUGCGGUGGAUACGGGCAGACUAGAGGUAGGUAGGGGAGAACGGAAUUCCCGGUGUAGCGGUGAAAUGCGCAGAUAUCGGGAGGAACACCGGUGGCGAAGGCGGUUCUCUGGGCCUUACCUGACGCUGAGGAGCGAAAGCAUGGGGAGCGAACAGG